rnacentral:rRNA from 1 species
AUAGGAAAUGUGGUGUUUAGGCCGUACCUUGUCCCGACACGUCUCUCCUCAAGUCCACUUGAUUGUGGCCCCAGGCCCAGAGAGGGUGUAAGGCCCGUGGAGGCGAGAUGUUCGGUGCCUGGUGCGUCCUUAGAGUCGGGUUGUUUGGGAAUGCAGCCCUAAGCGGGUGGUAAACUCCAUCCAAGGCUAAAUACCAGCACGAGUCCGAUAGCGAAGAAGUACCGCGAGGGAAGGUUGAAAAGAACUUUGAAGAGAGAGUUCAAGAGUACGUGAAACCGCUGAGAGGCAAACUGGUGGAACUGAAAUGGCUCCGAGGAAUUCAGCCGUUCUUCACAGCUAACGACGGCUCCAUCGGUUGACGUUGGGUGCACUUUCCUCGUGGGCCCGACCACGAUCGGUGAGCUGUCUGUCUGUCGUGCAAGGUAGCGCCCUCGGCGUAUUAUAGACAGGUGCACGGAGCAGUUGGCGCACUGUAAUGCCUGCCCGGGCUCAUAUGUUGGCUGUUUCGUUGGCGAGUUCCGGCUUCACUAUCGGUAGAGUAGUUGGUCUCUGUUGGCUUUACGGUCGGCCUCUGGCGUUGGUAAAUCUGUGGUUGUGAAGUAGGUAGUCCACCUGACCCGUCUUGAAACACGGACCAAGGAGUCUAACAUGUGCGCGAGUCAUUGGGUUUACGAAACCUAAAGGCGCAGUGAAGGUGAAGAUCUGNCGCAGGUUGAGGUGGGAUGCUGGGUUACGCCCGGCCGCACUACCGGCCCGUUCUACUUGUAUCUCAAGGGAGCGGAGCAAGAGCGUACACGUUGGGA